rnacentral:tRNA from 1 species
GUGGGUAUAUCUCAGUGAUAGAGCUUAUGUUUAUCAUGCACGAGGUCCUGGGUUCAACCCCCAGUAUCCCCA